rnacentral:lncRNA from 1 species
AACGUUUUCCCAAGCUAAUGGAGGAAAAGUUUGUAGGAAAAAGUAAGAUAUUUUAUUAGAUGCAAUUAUUGCUUUCAGGUUUAUUUCAAGGAAGUGCUCCUGUAAAUUUGCGCUGAGCUAACUAAUGAAAACAUACCAAAAGUAAUGGAGGAACUGAUUGUAAUCCCAGAUGACUAAGAAGGAAGAGAAUGCUUUACCGUUAAAUUACCUAUGCCUUACAGUCCAGCUGUCCUGAAGAAAGUUUGAAGGGAAUUUUAAUUUACUGAUACUUAAGGGUAACACUUGGACAUAGCAGCUCAACUUAACUUUGAGAGUUAGGUGUACUGGUCCUAAAGUUAAUUUUUACAGACUUCCCUGACAGCAUUUCUCCUGAGACCACUUAAAGGACAAGAUCGUAUAUUCCGGCAUAGUGAAGGAAUGGGUGCAUCUUUUUCUAGAAGUUACAAUAUUCAGCCUGGAAGUCCCAGUUUGCAAAUGUUAUUCAUGCAUUGUCAAAUCAAGAAAAGUUGCAGGGAGAAGCACAGCAAACUUGUCUAACUGAGAACAAGAAGAGCAGUGAGUGAGUCUUUCCUUAUGGGGCACAGGAGGUGCAAGGAGACAAGGCAAAGAAAGAAAAUGGAGUGGGGAACAAAUAUCCUCAAGAUCUGCCUUUGGAUAACUUGGAGUUUGUGCCUGUGCAGUUGCCAGUUUGAUAUGACACACGUUUACUAGUUAUUUGAUCGCAUUACUUUGCGGAAGGUAGUUAUUUUCUACAGUAUGCAUCAUAUGUGUAUCCUGAAGACUGUCGGGACACGAGGAACCCCUAUGUUACAGAAAAGAGACAUUUUGGAACAGAGGCAACUGUUUUGUUUGCAUCAAAUGCUGCCUGGGCCCAUCUCAGUAGACACCGGUGAGGAAACUGCAACUUACUGCUACUCUUCAGUCCAUUUUGCUUGAGGGAACAAGACCCAUGGUAUGGUGGUGGUUUGCUGCUGGUUCUCUCAGCUUAGAAUAACAUGAUGCAAACUGCAGCUUUUGCUCACAUCUGUAAGGAUUAGAUGGAUGGUCACUCAACCACUGGAGGCUCCUGUCCUUU